rfam:Gossypium raimondii Chr11_contig_1208, whole genome shotgun sequence.
CACGUCAGCGCGCUUUGCUGACGUGACAACAUAUCGCGUCCACGAAGGGGCGAUUUGUUGCCACGUCAGGAAAGCGCGUUGACGUGG